rnacentral:rRNA from 1 species
GUGGGGAAUAUUGGACAAUGGGCGAAAGCCUGAUCCAGCCAUGCCGCGUGAACGAUGAAGGCCUUCGGGUUGUAAAGUUCUUUAGCCGAUGAUUAUAAUGACUGUAGUCGGAAAAUAAGCCCCGGCUAACUUCGUGCCAGCAGCCGCGGUAAUACGAAGGGGGCGAGCGUUAUUCGGAAUCACUGGGCGUAAAGCGUGCGUAGGCGGUUUUGUAAGUUAGGAGUGAAAGCCCAGGGCUCAACCUUGGAAUUGCUCUUAAAACUGCAAGGCUCGAAUCUCGGAGAGGAUAGCGGAAUUUCCAGUGUAGCAGUGAAAUGCGUAGAUAUUGGAAGGAACACCAGUGGCGUAAGCGGCUAUCUGGACGAGUAUUGACGCUGAGGCACGAAAGCGUGAGGAUCAAACAGGAUUAGAAACCCGUGUAGUCC